UCCGCAUGUUCACAUGAUUAAAGGUAUUCCGGUAGACGAUGGGGAUGCGUUCCAUUAGAUAGUAGGCGGGGUAACGGCCCACCUAGUCUUCGAUGGAUAGGGGUUCUGAGAGGAAGGUCCCCCACAUUGGAACUGAGACACGGUCCAAACUCCUACGGGAGGCAGCAGUGAGGAAUAUUGGUCAAUGGGCGAGAGCCUGAACCAGCCAAGUAGCGUGAAGGAUGACUGCCCUAUGGGUUGUAAACUUCUUUUAUAAAGGAAUAAAGUCGGGUAUGCAUACCCGUUUGCAUGUACUUUAUGAAUAAGGAUCGGCUAACUCCGUGCCAGCAGCCGCGGUAAUACGGAGGAUCCGAGCGUUAUCCGGAUUUAUUGGGUUUAAAGGGAGCGUAGAUGGAUGUUUAAGUCAGUUGUGAAAGUUUGCGGCUCAACCGUAAAAUUGCAGUUGAUACUGGAUAUCUUGAGUGCAGUUGAGGCAGGCGGAAUUCGUGGUGUAGCGGUGAAAUGCUUAGAUAUCACGAAGAACUCCGAUUGCGAAGGCAGCCUGCUAAGCUGCAACUGACAUUGAGGCUCGAAAGUGUGGGUAUCAAACAGGAUUAGAUACCCUGGUAGUCCACACGGUAAACGAUGAAUACUCGCUGUUUGCGAUAUACGGCAAGCGGCCAAGCGAAAGCGUUAAGUAUUCCACCUGGGGAGUACGCCGGCAACGGUGAAACUCAAAGGAAUUGACGGGGGCCCGCACAAGCGGAGGAACAUGUGGUUUAAUUCGAUGAUACGCGAGGAACCUUACCCGGGCUUAAAUUGCAGAUGAAUUACGGUGAAAGCCGUAAGCCGCAAGGCAUCUGUGAAGGUGCUGCAUGGUUGUCGUCAGCUCGUGCCGUGAGGUGUCGGCUUAAGUGCCAUAACGAGCGCAACCCUUGUUGUCAGUUACUAACAGGUCAUGCUGAGGACUCUGACAAGACUGCCAUCGUAAGAUGUGAGGAAGGUGGGGAUGACGUCAAAUCAGCACGGCCCUUACGUCCGGGGCUACACACGUGUUACAAUGGGGGGUACAGAGGGC
rnacentral:rRNA from 1 species